rnacentral:rRNA from 1 species
CCUGACGACCAUAGCGGGCUGGUCCCACCUGAUCCCAUUCCGAACUCAGAAGUGAAACGGCCCUGCGCCGAUGGUAGUGUGGGGUUUCCCCAUGUGAGAGUAGGACAUCGUCAGGC